GUUGAGCAGCAGAUGUGAUUGCUGCUGCCAAUACAGCAGCAGAAGUUGCCUUGCGCCUUGUGAGGCCAGGAAAAAAGACGUUACAAGACUGCUCAUUGUUCUAAGUCAACACUUCAAGCCACGUUGAUGUUAAUUCCAACUUCAAUAUUACCAUCAUCUG